rnacentral:lncRNA from 1 species
AUGCUGGACACCAUCCUCCCUUCGCUGCAGGACGUUGGCAGGCACCUGCUGCCCACACUGCCCUCGCUGAGCCAGGAGGAAGUUUCUACUAUUUGGGGAAAUGUGUCAGAAUUUGUGGAACGGCAGCUGUCCUUACACAAGGGAGUUCAGAUUCCGGGACUUGGAACUUUCACUUUCAUGAGACAAAAGCUUGAGGUGGGAAAUAAGAAGUUUUUCCUAAUUCAGAGGCCGGUAUUUGUCAUGGCAGAGAAGUUACUACAGAUGCAUGGACUCAAACAAAACAGAGUAUAUACUCCUGGUGAUAUCCCAAUAGUUCCACUUAAUUUUGUCAUGAUAUCCUUGGAGGGUCCAUUUAGCAGAGAUAUAGUGGAAGGAUGUGUGAAGGAGACGCUGCUUUUUUUGUCACGAUCCAUUUCCAUCAAACAAAAUGUGGAGUUUACAUUCAAAGGAAUUGGGGUCCUCAUGAUCAAAGACAGCAAAGUCAAGAUGAGAUUCUAUAAGGACUUCCUUUGUACAAUGGAUGGAAGCGGGGCUUUGGCAAAAGCCCUAGCAAAUAGGCCUGACACAGUGGACUCAGUGUUGUCUAGCAGAGAGAACUUGGGGAAGCGACCCAACAGCGUGCUUGCAUUUCCAAGGAUUGAUCUCAAGGAGAUGGAGAACAAACCACCUAUGGAGACCAUUACAGAAGAAGAUGGACAGAAUGGACAGAGGAAGGACAAAUUAAAAGACCAGUCAGACAAAGAAGGUGUCCCAGAGAUUUUAUCACCCAAGACAGCUCAAGAUAGACCAGCUGUCUCUACUGCCAAAGGGACAAAUGCCAGUUUGCCAAAUAAACUGGAGCAGAAUGGGAGUGGUGGGAAGAAUAUGAACCAUGAAAGUGUAUCAUUUCCAGGUGGACUGAAAAAUGAUCAUGCAUUGAAGCCUAAAAUUUCUCCAGGCACUUCUUGCAAGGACCAUCAUAGGGCAGGACAGGAAAUGUGUUACAUAUGCUUGCAACGAGCACAGCGAAAUUCCCCACUGUACUACACCGAGGAGAGGAGGAGGAGAGAGAUGCAAGAUGAGCGAGUCAUCCAGGAGUAUCUCAUGUUGAAAGACCAAGAGACUAUCUUCAAAGAGCAGAUGAGAAGUCUGGCUAGCAGAGAACAGAAUCAAAAGAAUGCCGCCUAUAAUCUUGGAGUUGCUGAAGCUAUAAGAAUCCACAAGAAUGAGAAACCUGAAUUUUAUAAAUCCUUCCUAUUUGAUAAACGGCCACUCAGUCCUGAGAUUAAUGCUUUUAAGCAAGAGGAGUAUUCCCAAAGUCUCUUGAGACAAAUGGAUCACAGACGGAAAAAGGACAUAAAGCAAAGGCAAAACAGAGAGCUGAUGGACCGCCUGGAACAAGUGCAGCUCACAGAGGAACUUGCUGCGCAAAGAGCCAAAUAUAUAAAAGAUAAGAUGGAAGAAACACAGUGUUACAAGAGAGCUCUGGAUGCCCAGAUAAAGAACAGAUGCCCUCAGCUGCCUGUGUUUGAGCCAGACUCUUCUAAGCCCAUCUUUGGUAAGAAUGAGGGUGAGAUGAUGGUGGAAAAGCGAAAGAGAGACCAGAAUUACAUGAAGCAUCAGAUGGAGGCCGCUGCUAACAACAAGAGGAGAGCCAUCCUGCACCAGCUGGUGGACCAAAAGCGGGAUUUGCUGAUGCUUCAGAGGACACACAAAGAGCACUUGGCAGACAGAAAUGCUGAGCUUGAGCGAGUGAACAGAAUCAACCAAAGCUUACAGGAUGACUGGGAAAGGAGUGCUGUCAUGAAGAAGCAUCGAGACUUGGAGGAGAAGGCUUUUGAGCGGGCCUCCGACAAGCUCUUCCUGCUGGACCAAUGUGAGAAGUACCGGCGCUGCAAGCAGUGCCAGAGGCGCACCUCCAACAGGGGCGAGAGCAACCUGUGGCCCCUCAACAAGUACAUGCACGGCUCCCGGUUGUUCGUAUAA